CAAAGAGUAGUUUAGUUUAGAAUCCUAGCUUUGGGAGUUAGGGGUAGGAGUUAGAGCCUCUUUUCUUUGA
rnacentral:tRNA from 1 species